rnacentral:piRNA from 1 species
UAUUUGCAAAAAGAAGGUGAACUGAUU